rnacentral:snoRNA from 1 species
CGCCAUGCUUCCAUGGGACCUGCCAGUGUGUGGCAGCCUCCCUUCCUACUCAUGGCAGAGCAACAGGCCGCCUUGCCUCUUGGCAUAGCUCCCACCAUUCAAUUGGGGCGAGACUCUGACUUGGGCAAGGAACAGUU